UACGUAGGGUGCGAGCGUUAAUCGGAAUACUGGGCGUAAAGCGUGCGCAGGCGGUUCGUCGUGUCCGAUGUGAAAGCCCCGGGCUCAACCUGGGAAUGGCAUUGGAUACUGGCAAGCUAGAGUGCGGUAGAGGGUAGUGGAAUUCCCGGUGUAGCGGUGAAAUGCGUAGAGAUCGGGAGGAACACCAGUGGCGAAGGCGGCUACCUGGACCAGCACUGACACUGAGGCACGAAAGCGUGGGGAGCAAACAGG
rnacentral:rRNA from 1 species